GAGGGAAACUCGUGGGGGCCUCCGUCAGCGGUAGCGGCCAGCGUUCGGACAGGACUCCGGUGAGUCGCGCGAUACCUGGCGCUUCGCUUCGAUCGCGAGCCGAGGAAGAUAUUCCGGAUAGAAGAAUCAACACCGACGACGACGACGACAACAACGACGACGGCAACGACGACGACGACGGCGGCGGCGUCGCAGUGACGACGCGUCGCCCAAGUAAGAAAAAUCCGUUUUUUUUCAUCCUCGCGGGUGACGACCCUUGCGCACGCAAGGGAGGUGUAUCCCUUUUUUUCUGUCACGCGAAGUGCUGAAAGUCCGAUCGGCCGGCGAUCGGCGGUGGAGGACGACGACCGGAAUGGAGAGGAGGCAGCAGCAUCGUCGUCGUGACUCGAGCAGCUUCCAAGGUUGAGGCCCAGCGCGAAUACACAGCCGCCACCGGAAAGUAUGGGCUCGGAGGCCUGGGAGCUGGAGAGGAGGUACUCGGUGCCGGGUGCUUUGGACACCAGGGGGCUGGAGCCGCCGGCCAGCGAGGAUCUGCACGCAUGGUCGAUUUACAGGCAAAACCUGAACUCCGACUUCACGGACUCCGCGCUCGGCUCCGCCGAGAAGUCGCCGCUGCCGUACGGGAACUUCCAGCUGCGCGACUCCACGGUGCAGAGCAUACUCCGGCAUCCGCGGUACGGGCCCAAGAGUCCGUUGGCCAACAACUCUUACACGUACUUAAAGUUCGGUCUACCGCGAGUCCUGCCGCCCAGCUCGCGGAAUCGCGACGGAUCCAGCGGCUACGACUCCAGCGAGGAAGGACGACGCGUGUCGCACGCAGGUGCUCCAGUGCAUACCACUUCGAUUAUGCGUUCAGCCAGAAGCGACCCGGAUUUUAGGCACGUCCACGCUGUCCCGAGGGAGUCAGCGCAUUCUCAGCUAACUAUCGCGAGGGAUCACCCGAGGCUGAGAAGUGCCAGCGAGGCCAAUCUCUUGCAGAGUGCAGUUAGGACCAAUCGGCGACACAGCAUCGCGCCAAUCGAUCCCGGAUACAUAGCACACGGACACGGUAUCCUGGGACCGGAAGGUUACGCGCUGCCAAUAAGACCCAUACCGUGUCUGCAACAUCCUCACCUACAGCUGCGAGGCGUGGAGGCUUCGGGCUCGGAUGGGCUGCCGCUUCUUCGUGGUAUCACCCUCGAGGCCGGCGCCGCCGAAGUGCUGGCCAUUAUGGCGACUACCGAGAAGGAAGGCACGCAGAUCAUCGAGACGAUCGCGGGCAGGAGGCGUAUAAAAAGGGGCGAUAUUCUGCUCAAUGGAAGAUCCGUAUCGGCACGCAGCCUGAGAUCUCGCGUUGCCUAUCUACCCACGGAGAGCGGCCUAACUCCUGGACUGACGGCUCAGCAGACUCUCAGCUUCUACAUGUUGCUGAGAGGCGGUCGCAACACCACCACGCUCGAGGCCGAGGCUAUUCUGCAGGAGCUCGGCUUGGAGGCGACCAAGCACUGCCUGGUCAACACCCUGACAACAUCCGAGGCCCGACGACUGGCUCUCGCCUGCCGGCUGCUUCAGGACUCGCACAUUCUCGCCUUGGACAGACCCAUCCACGGUUUGGACAUCUUCGACGCCUUCUUCCUCGUGGAAUACCUAAGGCAAUGGGCCAGCCGCGGUCAGCGUCUCGUCGUCCUGACCCUGCAUCCGCCCACCUACGAGAUCCUAACGAUGGUGUCGAGGGUCGCGCUUACUUCCGGCGGUCGAGUCAUGUACUCCGGGCCCAGAAGAGACAUGCUGCCAUAUUUCGCGUUCGCCGAAUUCCCCUGCCCGCCCUUCAAGAAUCCGUCCGAUUAUUAUCUCGAUUUAGUAACGCUGGAUGACUUGUCGGCGGAAGCGAUGCUGGAAUCUUCGCAGAGGAUAGAUCAUUUGGCGGAGCUGGCCAGAACGAGGCUACCCCCGCUCAGUGAUCCUGGACCACCGGGCGCACUUCCGCCCUCGAUGUCCGGUCCCAAUAUAUUUGUGCAAUUCUACGCGCUAUUGUUGCGAACGCUCAUCUACAGUCAACCGUGGACGUUGACGAGGCUGUUGCGGAAGAUCGUCAUUUCCGCGUCGCUCAGUGUUUUACUUGGUGCAAUAUUCUGGGAUAUCGCCAGUGAAUCGAAUCUAUACCUGCGAGACAGAAUAGGCUUUCAUUAUGCUAGUUUGGGCAUCCUUUUCUGGCCUCUGAAUCUUCUGGCGAUGUGCGAUGUAGCCAAUAACAGGCCGAAUGUGGAGAGGGACAUCAGAGAUGGGCUGUAUGGUAGAUUUAUCUACAUUCUAGUGGAGCUCAUUUGCAGUGUGCCGUCGUGGUGCGUGAUCUACCUGAUAUAUUUGGCACCAGCGUUUGCGAUGUCGGGGUUGCAUCUCGUGCCGGAUGAGAAUCUGACGUCGCUGUGGAACUAUCUCAUCGUCGGCCUGCUGCAUCUGAUGCUGCAGCAUCUCAUCUGCAAGUUCUUCGCGCAUGUGAUCAAAUGGACUUAUUUGGCAUCGUUGCUCGGCGGCGUAGUGUUGGGCGAGAUGAUCCUGGCUGGCGGGGCGACCUUGCACCUGGACAAUUUGCCGUCGUGGUAUCAGCAAAUCAACCCGAUGCAAUGGUCAAUGUCGAUGCUGCUGCCGCGGCUGUACAAGAGCGAGAGCGUGGGGAAAUUGGCUAAUUGCAAACCCAAGCAGAUCCAACGGCAGGACAUCAUUAUUCAGGCGGCGUGCGAGCCGCCCGAUGGCGCGUUGGCUCUUCGCGAAGUCGCCCUCGACAAGUUGAACGUACGAGGGGAGCUUUGGCUGGGCAUAGGCUUGGCUAUCGUUGCCGUGCUGAUCAUCUUCGCUUUCAUAUGUGUCAAGUACGUCACCCCGAAGAGGCCCAGAAGCGCUCCAAAUAAACCCUGAUUUGCCGCACACAAUUUGAAAAAUCAUCAUCGAGAAGUAGAAUCAAGAUCGUACAGGAUGCCACGAAGACAAUUUAGGUUAAAACUCACGUAUCAAUCAAGUAUAAGUUCGUAAAAAAUUCUUAUGGAUAUUCUAUUGUCCGAUGUAGGUUUUUUUACUAUUCAUUAAAUUUUAACAAAGAUAUUUUGAGCUUGAUUUUCGUUGACAAAAAGCAUUUCGGUAGAAUCUACCUUGCUAUUUUUUAUUGCGCUCGUAAAGUUUCGUCAACGUCUACUCCGUUGCGAUUCUUUAAAGAAAUACGCUUUAGGGACUCGCAGGCGUAGACUGAAAGGCGGUUUGAAGUACAAAGCUUAACGAGACAUUAUUCUUUAGCUUGUAAUAGAAAAUCGCUGUUUAUAAACGUUAUAACGAUGAAUAAACGCGCUUAUAACUUCGUAUAUAUCUUAACUGAUACGUAUUGUUAACCGUAUAAAAUAAACAUUUUCAUGAAACAAA
rnacentral:misc_RNA from 1 species